CUCCUUCAACCAGUAUCGCCAGGAGUGGUCAUCCAGGAGUCACCGAUCGUCGGCAAACGGGAACCUCAGUACCAUCUUUGACGAAACGAGCAUCCGAUGGCAAAAGCAUUGUGGACUCUGCAUACAGGCCAAGGUUUACAAAUGAGCCGACGCCAUCCUUCUAUUGUGCUCGGGUGUCAGGAGAAGGUGCUUGCGCCGGGGGUGGUACUUCAGUUAUAGGUGGGCGUGCGCUUUAUGAAACGGUUCCGAGGCAUGACUCAAUCAAUGAAAGGCAUGGGAACAAGAAGGGUGGUGGCUCCCUGGUGGUCGGAGCUUUCUGUGCAUCAUCAUCUCUGCUGUACCAAGUCAAGGGCAACAGCAUCAGACGCUCAGUAUGGAAGCCGGACUCAUCUCAGCUGGCCUCUGGGUCUCCCGGAGAUGUCCAGUCCGUUGGCGGAAACAUCGAGCCUUUGGACUCUGUCCAAUGGGAAAGGCCCAACUUCCCGAGAGCAAUCACCCUUGGCAGUAUUUCUUGCCCCCACCAUCCCCAAUUCCAGGGGGGCACUCU